CUACGGGGGGCUGCAGUGAGGAAUAUUGCACAAUGGGGGGAACCCUGAUGCAGCAACGCCGCGUGGAGGAUGACGCAUUUCGGUGUGUAAACUCCUUUUAUAUGUCAAGAAAAUGACGGUAGCAUAUGAAUAAGCACCGGCUAACUCCGUGCCAGUAGCCGCGGUAAUACGGAGGGUGCAAGCGUUACUCGGAAUCACUGGGCGUAAAGGACGCGUAGGCGGGUUGGAAAGUCAGGUGUGAAAUCCUACAGCUUAACUGUAGAACUGCACUUGAAACUUCUAAUCUAGAGUGUGGGAGGGGGAGAUGGAAUUAGUGGUGUAGGGGUAAAAUCCGUAGAUAUCACUAGGAAUACCUAAAGCGAAGGCGAUCUCCUGGAACAUUACUGACGCUAAGGCGUGAAAGCGUGGGGAGCAAACAGGAUUAGAUACCCGAGUAGUC
rnacentral:rRNA from 1 species